rnacentral:SRP_RNA from 1 species
CGGCAAGUCCUACACGAUCUGCUCCUGCUGACUCCCCCAGGAUGGGAACAUAGCAAGGGUAUGUGGUUGAGCGAUGCGAUGUAGGUCGCUUGCCUUUU